GGCUUAGAGUUUGAUCAUGGCUCAGGACGAACGCUGGCGGCGUGCCUAAUACAUGCAAGUCGAGCGAGCGGAACUAACAGAUUUACUUCGGUAAUGACGUUAGGAAAGCGAGCGGCGGAUGGGUGAGAAACACGUGGGGAACCUGCCCCAUAGUCUGGGAUACCACUUGGAAACAGGUGCUAAUACCGGAUAAGAAAGCAGAUCGCAUGAUCAGCUUUUAAAAGGCGGCGUAAGCUGUCGCUAUGGGAUGGCCCCGCGGUGCAUUAGCUAGUUGGUAAGGUAAAGGCUUACCAAGGCGAUGAUGCAUAGCCGAGUUGAGAGACUGAUCGGCCACAUUGGGACUGAGACACGGCCCAAACUCCUACGGGAGGCAGCAGUAGGGAAUCUUCCACAAUGGACGCAAGUCUGAUGGAGCAACGCCGCGUGAGUGAAGAAGGUUUUCGGAUCGUAAAGCUCUGUUGUUGGUGAAGAAGGAUAGAGGUAGUAACUGGCCUUUAUUUGACGGUAAUCAACCAGAAAGUCACGGCUAACUACGUGCCAGCAGCCGCGGUAAUACGUAGGUGGCAAGCGUUGUCCGGAUUUAUUGGGCGUAAAGCGAGCGCAGGCGGAAGAAUAAGUCUGAUGUGAAAGCCCUCGGCUUAACCGAGGAACUGCAUCGGAAACUGUUUUUCUUGAGUGCAGAAGAGGAGAGUGGAACUCCAUGUGUAGCGGUGGAAUGCGUAGAUAUAUGGAAGAACACCAGUGGCGAAGCGGCUCUCUGGUCUGCAACUGACGCUGAGCUCGAAAGCAUGGGUAGCGAACAGGAUUAGAUACCCUGGUAGUCCAUGCCGUAAACGAUGAGUGCUAGUGUGGGAGGUUUCCGCCUCCUC
rnacentral:rRNA from 1 species